UGCUUCCUUUCUCAGCUGAACCCCACCCCUGGAGCCCCCAGCAGGGCCCUCUGUGGUGGAACAGCA
rnacentral:miRNA from 10 species